GUUAAAUUAAAUUAAAUUGAAUUAUCCUAUAACUAGCUAGAGGGUUACACAUAAGUGAGGUUAAAUUCAAGUAGGCUCGCUCGCCGGUUCUAGAGAAGCUGAAACCUACAAAACGAGAUUUUAAUUUUCCCGUACCGAAAUACAGAAAUUGAAAAUCACGGAACCUGUUUCUCUGUUGCCACAGCAACACUAAAACGGAAUGAAAUUUA